UACGUAGGAUGCAAGCGUUGUUCGGAAUUACUGGGUUUAAAGGGUGCGUAGGCGGCCUUGUAAGUCAGUGCUGAAAUAUCCCGGCUUAACCGGGAGGGUGGCAUUGAUACUGCAGGGCUUGAGUAAAGUUGAGGUUGGCGGAAUUGACGGUGUAGCGGUGAAAUGCUUAGAUAUUGUCAAGAACACCGAUAGUGAAGACAGCUAACUAAGCUUUAACUGACGCUGAGGCACGAAAGUGUGGGGAUCAAACAGG
rnacentral:rRNA from 1 species